ensembl:lncRNA
UGCUGUUGCACCACCACAAAACCAAAACCACCAGGGAGUCCUUACCUGUGAAACCAGUGGAAAGAGAAGAACGGGUGCCCUGUUCGAGUGCUGAUCAUUUAAUCCCCUCCCUGCCUGGCCCUGGGAUCCUUUCUUUCCAUUUGUAAUCGCAGUGCUGAACUAGAACAUCAGAGAUUAGUGCAUGAUUAGGAUGUCUACUGACCUCGGCUUGCCCACGGCCCCUCAGCUUUAUCUCGUCUGGCACCGACUCAUCAGGGGGGAACAUCUUGCAGCCAUAACUUUCCCAGAGAUGUAUGUUUCUGCCUCAUAGUAGGAUAAAAUGAAAACAAGGGAAUCUUUCUAUUUCAUAUGAUGUGAACAUGGC